UGGCAAUGAUGUUAAACAAUUCCUUCACCUGAUUAAAAGUGAAGAUAAAAAAAUUAACUAUUCUCGAGUCUGAGCUAU